CAAACUCCAAGCGUAGCUUGAUGUUGGACGAUGUCUUUCUCUGUCGGGAGUCUAGCACUUCUGGGAGAGGACACGUCUGGAACGCGUGGGCGCCGCCGCCGGACCACGAGCGUAGCAAGACGCAAGUCAUUUUUCGCUCUGUAGGACAUUUCGGUCGGACGGUCUAGCCUUGUCACAGACACACACACACCAAAA
rnacentral:misc_RNA from 1 species